GCGUGAGUGAUGACGGCCUUAGGGUUGUAAAGCUCUUUCGCACGCGACGAUAAUGACGGUAGCGUGAGAAGAAGCCCCGGCUAACUUCGUGCCAGCAGCCGCGGUAAUACGAAGGGGGCUAGCGUUGUUCGGAAUCACUGGGCGUAAAGGGUGCGCAGGCGGAUCUUUUAGUCAGGGGUGAAAUCCCGAGGCUCAACCUCGGAACUGCCCUUGAUACUGGGGAUCUUGAGUCCGGAAGAGGUGGGUGGAACUGCGAGUGUAGAGGUGAAAUUCGU
rnacentral:rRNA from 1 species